GAAAUUCGAUAAGUAAUGUGAAUUGCAGAAUUCAGUGAAUCAUCGAAUCUUUGAACGCACAUUGCGCCCGCCAGUAUUCUGGCGGGCAUGCCUGUUCGAGCGUCAUUUCAACCAUCAAGCCCCCGGGCUUGUGUUGGGGACCUGCGGCUGCCGCAGGCCCCGAAAACCAGUGGCGGGCUCGCUGUCACACCGGGCGUAGUAGAUUUUUCGUCUCGCCCAGGGCGUGCUGCGGGUUCCGGCCGUUAAAAAGCCUCUCUUUUAACCCAAGGUUGACCUCGGAUCAGGUAGGAAGACCCGCUGAACUUAAGC
rnacentral:misc_RNA from 1 species